rnacentral:lncRNA from 1 species
AUUCACUCUGCAAUGAUUUACUGAAUGCCUUCUAUGUACCAAGCACUCUGCCAGGUGCUUGGGUACAAAAGGAAAGCUCUGUAGACAACGAUUGUAACAGAACUGAGAAAGUGAAACCAAAAAGUGGAAAUACAACUCUAGUGCCCUGAGGAAGAUGGUGAAUGAGUUAAGCAUUAAUAUUACAGGAAAGAAGACUGGAUCCAGACCCAAGAGAGGGUUCUUGUAUCUCAGGCAAGAAAGAAUUCUGGGCAAGUUCACAGAGGAAAAUGAAAGCACAUUUAUU